rnacentral:ncRNA from 1 species
AUCAGGGGUAGAGGCCGUGAAACCCGCCCGGCAUUUCGGGCGCCGCCAGGGGCGGGCGGAGCCAGUGGCGCGACCGGCUACCACGCGA